UCCGGUUGAUCCUGGCGGAGGACAUUGCUAUUGGGAUUCGAUUUAGCCAUGCUAGUCGAGCGAGUUCAGACUCGCGGCGCAUAGCUCAGUAACACGUGGCCAAGCUCCCCUUCAGUCGGCGAUACCCUCGGGAAACUGAGGCUAACAGCCGAUACUCGACGCCAGCUGGAAUGCGGCGUCGUCGAAAGACAUCGCUGAAGGAUGCGGCUGCGGCCGAUUAGGUAGACGGUGGGGUAACGGCCCACCGUGCCAGUAAUCGGUACGGGUGAUGAGAGUCAGAGCCCGGAGACGGAAUCUGAGACAAGAUUCCGGGCCCUACGGGGCGCAGCAGGCGCGAAACCUUUACACUGCACGGAAGUGCGAUAGGGGAAUCCCAAGUGCGAGGGCAUAUUAGCCCUCGCUUUUGUUGACUGUAAGGUGGUCAACGAAUAAGAGCUGGGCAAGACCGGUGCCAGCCGCCGCGGUAAUACCGGCAGCUCGAGUGAUGUCCCAUAUUAUUGGGCCUAAAGCGUCCGUANCUGGCCAACCAAGUCCAUCGGGAAAUCCACCCGCCCAACGGGUGGGCGUCCGGU
rnacentral:rRNA from 1 species